rnacentral:rRNA from 1 species
UACGGAGGGUGCAAGCGUUAAUCGGAAUUACUGGGCGUAAAGCGCGCGUAGGCGGUUUUUUAAGUCGGAUGUGAAAGCCCCGGGCUCAACCUGGGAACUGCAUCCGAUACUGGAAGACUAGAAUGCGGGAGAGGGAGGUAGAAUCCCAUGUGUAGCAGUGAAAUGCGUAGAUAUAUGGAGGAAUACCAGUGGCGAAGGCGGCCUCCUGGCUCGACAUUGACGCUGAGGUGCGAAAGCGUGGGGAGCAAACGGG